rnacentral:tRNA from 1 species
GCGCGGGUGGUGAAAUGGCAGACACGCUACUUUGAGGGGGUAGUGCUGCAAGGCGUGAGGGUUCAACUCCCUCCCCGCGCACCA